AGUCCCGUGGUGAAUUUCACAUUGAAUUNCAAAUUCAAAGGA
rnacentral:tRNA from 1 species